rnacentral:rRNA from 1 species
GACGAACGCUGGCGGCGUGCUUAACACAUGCAAGUGGAGCGACGAACCGGGGCUUGCCCCGGGGCAGAGCCGCGAACGGGUGAGUAACACGUGGGUUACCUGCCCUGAUGACCGGGACAACCCGUCGAAAGACGGGCUAAUACCGGAUGUGCCCGCAAGGGGAAAGGAGGCGUAAGCUUCCGCAUCGGGAUGGGCCCGCGGAGCAUUAGCUUGUUGGUGAGAUAAAAGCUCACCAAGGCUUCGAUGCUUAGCUGGUCUGAGAGGACGAUCAGCCACACUGGGACUGAGACACGGCCCAGACUCCUACGGGAGGCAGCAGUGGGGAAUCUUGCGCAAUGCAACGAAAGUGUGACGCAGAAACGCCGCGUGCGGGAAGACGGCCU